GAGGGUAUAGCUCAGUGGUAGAGCCCAUGCCUAGCAUGCACAAGGUCCUGGGUUCAAUCCAGUACUUCCA
rnacentral:tRNA from 1 species